AGCGAACGCUGGCGGCAGGCCUAACACAUGCAAGUCGAACGUACCUUUCGGGGUUAGUGGCGGACGGGUGAGUAACACGUGGGAACGUGCCUUUAGGUUCGGAAUAACUCAGGGAAACUUGUGCUAAUACCGAAUGUGCCCUUCGGGGGAAAGAUUUAUCGCCUUUAGAGCGGCCCGCGUCUGAUUAGCUAGUUGGUUGAGGUAAUGGCUCACCAAGGCGACGAUCAGUAGCUGGUCUGAGAGGAUGAUCAGCCACAUUGGGACUGAGACACGGCCCAAACUCCUACGGGAGGCAGCAGUGGGGAAUCUUGCGCAAUGGGCGAAAGCCUGACGCAGCCAUGCCGCGUGAAUGAUGAAGGUCUUAGGAUUGUAAAAUUCUUUCACCGGGGACGAUAAUGACGGUACCCGGAGAAGAAGCCCCGGCUAACUUCGUG
rnacentral:rRNA from 1 species